GUCCUGACUUCCUUUGGUGAUGAACAGCAAUGUGGAAGUGAAUCUCACGUGACUGAGAAACACUGAAGGGACUGUUCAAGAUCCUUAUGCCUCCAGGAAAUGCACAUUAAAACUACUGCAGGAUUUCAUCUUUUACAUGUUAGAGUGGCCAAGAUCAAAUGACAGUUCAUGCUCCUGAGGAUGUGGAGUAAGGGGAGUACUCCUCCAUUGCUAGUGAGAGUGAAAAGUUGUGCAGCCACUAUGAAAAUCAGCGUUGUGAUUCCUCAGGAAAAUGAGAAUCUAUCUACCUCAAGAUCCAGCUAUACCACUCUCAGGCAUACACCUAAAGAAUGCUUCAUCCUACCACAGAGACACCUGCUUAGCCAUGUUCAUUACUGUUCUAUUCAUAAUAGCCUGAAAAUGGAAACAACCUGGAUGUCCCUCGAUAAAAAAAAAAUUGAUAAAGAAAAUGUGGUACAUUUGUAUAAUGGAGUAUUAUUCAGCCACUAAAAAUGAAAUCAUAAAACUCACUAGUAAAUGGAUAGAACCAGAAAACGUCAUCCUGAAUGAGAUACCCCAGACCCAGAAAGACAAAUAUAGUAUGUACUCACUUAUAUGUGGAUAUUACCUGUUAAGUCAAUGAUCCACUACCAUCCAUAGGACCACAAUGGUUAGGCAAAGAGUAAGGGACUAGGAAUGGCAGAUAAUCUCAUUUGGAAAAGAAGAGAGAUAGUUACGAAUGGGUGGAAGGGCUGGAACAGGAAGAUCAUGUGGGGAAUGAGAAUGGAGGAUGAGGGAGGAAAUAGAGAGAGAGCGAGCUAACAAUAAUGGCCAUGUGGGUGGUGGUAUCGAAACCUAAUACAGUAGAAGCUUCCUAAAAUACAUACAAUAUAAAGGUGACCCAAAUGAAAUGGCCAAACACUGAAGAGACAGAGUCCAACUGGCCAUCUCCUGUCACCAAAUGAAGCUUCCCGCCAGGACUGGGUUACAUUUAAUUGAGUUCCUAGCCAAAGAGGUCCCAUGAGAAUCCCUAAAGAACCCAAGCUGUGGUUGCAGGACUAUAGGUUGCACAAACCAACAGCAAGGCCCCAUUGCUAAAGAAAACAGCUACACAACGCAUUGAAAACGGUGAAGUCAAACUGGUGCCGACAAAGAGCCUUCGGCCCUAUAAUGUGCCCGAGGAAGCCAGACAAGGGAGUACACUGGAAC
rnacentral:sRNA from 1 species